CCUGUUGGGAGGCUACCAAUCACGAAGAUUUGCUUCAAGCGGCUGGCAUGACGAGCAGACAGACGGCACACACACAGGCACAUCAUGAAGCUUAGGGGGCCCCCGACGGCAUUCCAGAACGUCCCGGUAUGGCCACCACCGUCGAAGACGUUUCUCCCGAGCCCCGGUCCUCCUAACACCACCUCAGCAACAGCUCCCCUGCUCUGCGUUGACCUGCCCUGCUCGACGGCAUUUCCUCUCUGGGCCCACCACUGGCGUAGGACCAGCCAGCUCAAGCCCAGGCCCGUACUGCUGCGCUCCGCGGUUCGACCCGCACCUUCGCGAACCUUAGCUUCGAAAACGACACGUGUCAUUCACACGCGUCAUAGAAAAAUUAGGAGCCGCACACUUGUAAGAGAACGUCUCAUUUCCCACCCCCAUCUGAACACGCCGCGUUAAAAAAAAAAAAAAAUUGUACACCAUUUGGUCCCGCAGAGCAUCAGAAGCUGUGAUUUAUUUAACUGCUCCCCUGCUGCUGUGUAUGUAGGUGUUUCUAACGCUUCCCUAAGACAAACGAGACGGAAAUGAAUAUCCUGACUGAACGCUGGCACGUGUGCUGAAUUCCUUCCCUCAGAAAAUGCCUAGAUACAGGGCUGCCUGAUAAGACGGGAGACUGAUUUUUAAAGCCCCCGAGUGGCGAGGCCGAAAUGCCCUUCCGAGCCUCUCAACUGCUCGGGUUAAGACAGAAUCCUACAGUCAAGCCCUUCCAAGGACAGCAAGCCCCUCAGCCAGAUGAACCAAGCCACGGGAAGUCCAAAGCUGUGACAUCCGGUCCCAUUUCUAGAGACGCGUGCCAGGACCAGGCUCCUUGCAUUCCUGGCCUGAGCCCUCAGCUGCGUGACCUUGGGUGAGUCAUCCAACCAGUCCCCGUCCAGACAGGAGAGGACAGCGGCCUCACCGGCCUCACCGAGGCCUCGUGACCAGGAAGGGACACGGGAGGCCCUUCUGUGCUGGGAAGGCCUCGACAGCUGGUAUCUUCAUCUAAGAGACGUACAAUUGGGGGCGAUGAGCCCUGGGUUUUCAAUCCCUGCCUUCCAGAACUGGUGCACAAAAAGCCAAGGCCGCUACAGAUUUGUUCCUUCCUUCUCCGUCCUGGAGCCACCUUGGAUGAGGGGACAAGAUGUACGCAACUGGGCGGCCCGCAUCCUGGCUCUGCUCUAGCACAACCCUCCCCCCCUCCUGAGAUGCCAGGCUGGUCCUUUCCUCCCAGAGACUUAAAAAUUGAAGGCUAAAUGCUAGGAGAGCUGUAGACAGAAGCCCCCAGGAGAGCACCUGGGUACACACGUCCAACUAAUAACCCCGUACCCAAAAAGCAGGGCGCCUUACGUGCCCCCAAAGCCAACCGGCCACAGGGGCCGCCACAAUCCUCCUGAAACGCGCACUCUCCCCCGAACGGAACAGGACCCUCUCCGCGGACCCGAAGCCCACAAGUGAUGCCACGUCCCCUCUCUCCCGGCCCCUGACAAAUGGAGCGCCAGCUCUCCAAAGCACCCUGGACUCCGGGCUGGGGCUGCGGCCGGGACGCCCAGUGGCCUUGUGACCUGGGCAAAGGGUCAGGUAAUCUCCCUCGGCGUCGCAGCGCCUGGUGGUGACGUGAGCCCAGAUCCCGCUGGGCACGUGUAAACACGCAAGACACACGGCCCAGACGGUAUCACUGCCCCACACCUCUGCGUGCAACACACUCCUGGCUUUAUUCUCA